UCCAACAACUUGACCCAUAGGAGUUGCCUCUUUUGGGGUUGGAACUUGGUAACGAAACAGGAUGAAGACAAGACCAAAAUCCUAUUCUACCCCAGGACUCUCCACAGAAAGUGCACACAUUCUGCUGUUAAGUAACACAGGGCAAUAUAGGGGAACCAAAUAAGUAACACAAGACAGACAUUUUGAUAAGGCUUCUUCCCUCAUUCUUGACCCACUGAGAA